CUUUGUAAAUAGCCCCAUGAACAUGCAAAGUGGCAAAAGCAUAUUUAGAGUCUGUGUAAAUAUUUGCCUUCUGGUCUUUUGCUAGCCAGAGAGCUCUUAUAAGACCUAUCAGCUUUGCUUUCUGAGAGGCAGUUCCUGUAGACAAAGACUGUGCCUCUACUGCUGAGUCCAAAGUCACCACUGCAUACCCAGUUUGGUGGACUCCCUCUAGUAUGAAGCUGCUCCCAUCAGUAAAAUAUUCAAUGUCCAGGUCUCCGAGGGGCCGAUCUGUCAGAUCUCUCUGGCUUGAGAACACUUCAUCUACCACAUCCACUCAGCAAUGAAGGGGGCUUCCUGGCACUGAUUCAAUGGGGAGCAAGGUAGCUGGGUUUAGGGUACUCACAGUCUCUAAAGUUACACAGGGAUUAUCACAUAGGAGCCCUUGGUAUUGAGUUAUUCUCGGAUUCGAAAACCAAUGGUGCCCCCUUUGGUCCAUCAAAGUUAUAACUGAGUGCAGUAGCUGGAUUGUCACUUGCUGUCCUAAAGUCAGCUUAUUAGCUUCCUGUGCCAGCCGAGCAGUGAUAGCUAGUGUCUUAAAACAAAGACUCCAUCCAGGUGCCACAGAAUUCAAUUGCCUGGAUAGGUAUGCCACCGGGUGAUGCCACAAUCCUAUGGCUUGAGUUAGAACUCUUACGGCCAUUCCCUUUUGCUCAUGGACAUAUAAAAAGAAAGGCUUAGUUAGAUCUGGCAGUCCUAAAGUUGGGGCCUGAGUCAAGGCUUCUUUGAUUUCCUUAAAGGCCUUCUCCUGGUCAGCCUCCCAGAGGAGGAGCUCCUUUUUCCCCUCUUUGUGGCUUCAUAUAAUGGCUUAGCCAUGAGCGAGAAAUUUGGGAUCCAGAUGCAGCAGGACCCUGCUGGCCCUAGGAACUCUCUUGUCACCGGGUGGUUGGAGUAGGAAGUGUACAAAUGGUCUGCUUCUGUUCACUACCAAGCCAUCUUUUCCUUUGGCUUAUAUAGAAGCCUAAAUACUGGUCACUUUCAGAGCAGAUUUGAGACUUGUUCCCUGACACUUUAUAUCCUGCCUUCCAUAGCAAGUGCAGGAGGUCUUGGGUCCCCUCGAAGCAGUCCUCUCAGGUCGGGGCUGCUAGAAGAAGAUCAUCAAUGUACUGGAGCAAGACACAGUCACUGUUUGGUGGGGUGUAUGCUUUAAGGUCUGAGGCCUGUGCCUCUUCAAAGAUUGUAGGAGAGUUUUUAAAUCCUUGUGGGAGUCUUGUCCAAGUGUACUGUGAUUUACCCCAUUGAAAAGCAAAAAUAGGCUCAUUAAUUGGUGCAAGCCAGAGACGGAAAAAUGUAUCCUUUAAAUCUAGGACUGUAAAUCAAGUGGCACUUGCUGGAAUAUGUCCCAUUAAAGUAUAUGGGUUUGGCACCACUGGGUGGAUGGUCACCGUGGCCUAGUUUUCCACACACAAAUUCUGUACUGGUCUAUAUUCACCAGACGGCUUCCGCACUGGCAAGAGAGGGGUGUUCCAUGGUGACUGGCAUUUGACUAUGAUUCCAUGUUUAUGAAGACUCUAAAUAUUUGCGGACACCCAGUAUGGCCUCAGGGAGUAGCAGGUACUGUUGGACCUGAACUGGAUUUUAACUCUACCACCACUGGUGCCUGACUUACAGCCAGUCCAGGUGGGUUACUAUCAGCCCAAACUCUGGGAAUUUUAGUAAGCAACCCAGGCAUUUCAUUUACUCUUGGUUCCAGAGUCUUUUUUGCAUAUAGCCUCUAUUCUUCAGCCUAUGGUACAGUACGGGUUAACAUCAUAGCCUCCGGGUGAGGUAGAUUUAAAGUUACAUUCCCUUGUGGCCCAAAUGUAAUCUGUACCUGCAGUUUUUGAAGUAGGUCUCUUCCCAGCAAAGGAACAGAACCAUUUGGGAUGAGAAUUCAGGUUGGACUUCUCAUCCUCCUAUAACACACCUCUUUGACCAACCGAUGGGCCUCUUUUCAGAGACUCCAGUGGCUCCCACAAUAGUUGCACAGUUCUUGGAUAGUGGCCCUAUAGGUUGGGUCACUACUGAGUGUUUAGCUCUGGUGUCUACCAUAAAGUCCAUUAGCUGGCCUCUAACUUCCAAUCUGGCCAUGGGCUUCUCAGGGCCCAAAGAGAAGCAGCCUGGUCUGUCCUAGUCCUCAUAUCCUUCAGCCCCUGCCAGUCUGAUCAGAUCAGUGCCUGGUUUCUCCUGGGUGUGGCAGCCCCUGGCUGGUGGCCUUCCUGUACGAUGGCCCUGACCCUUCUCCUUAUUAUUAUUCUCUGGACACUCAUCCUUCCAGUGUCCUUGUCUUUUGCACUGUGCACACUGAUCUCUUUCCAACCUGGGCCUGCUCUCAAAUCCCUGUCCAUACUGGCUUCUUCCAUGCCCACUUCCAUGCCCACAUCACGCCACCUUGCAAAGCCAGCUUCCCUCCCUGUGAGAGCUGCUGCCAGCCAAUCAGCCUUUUUCUUAAGCCUUUGAUUAGCCUCUGUCUUUGCCUCCUGAUCUCCGUUAAUGUACAACUUGUGGCCACUUCAAUAAACUGAAUAGCAUUCAUGCCUGCAAAACCUUCCAUUUUCUGCAAUUUUUGCCUGAUAUCCCCCUGGGCCUGCUCUACAAAUGCCGUGUUCAGCAUGUGCUGGCCUCACUAAGUCUUUUAUAAAACUGGCUGGGGCUUUCAUAUGCACCCUGAAGCACCUAUGAGAUUUUUCCCUAUAUUGAUUGCCUUUCUCCCGCCUUCCCUUAAACUUUGCAGGAGUGCCUUUUGGUAUCUGGGCAGCUGCUGUAGUUGGGCUGCCUCAUUUGGGUCCUAGUCGGGGUCCUCUUGUUUCCCAGAAAGGCAUUUGCAUAGCCCAAACAUGACCUGACUGGAGACAAGUUUGCUUUAUUUUCCUAGCAUUUCACCUUAACUUCCUGGAGUGAGGGCUCAGAUUUUUCCAUCUCAGAUUGAUAGUGAUUUAUAUAGUACACUUGUGCUGAAGCACUUUGGUGAACUAAGGUAGCGAUGAAGCUUUUUAUCAUUUGAAGAAGUACAGGUAGGAAACAAAGGAGCGCAACCCCAUGAGGUUGAUAAUACUAUGACCACCAAUGCCAUUUCAUUGGUGAGGAAGUUGAAGCAAAUAAAGUCCAAGUAACUUGUCCAACCCCACAUCAUUAUGUAGUGGUUUCUCAGAGACUUGAAUGAAGGGCAUCUGGAUCCAGAGUGCCAGCUCUUAACCACCAUGUUAUGCUGAGUCUUCUAUUUGAGCAAUGGAAUAAACUGUUCUCUGCAAUGACUACACUCACAUUUGUUGGAGCUAUGUGUGUUCAUUGACUGGAGCCAACUGUUGUGAAAUGGGUUGAAUUCUUGAUUUGAUUCUUGGCUUGAAGUCUGCAUAGCCAAAGCAAGACUAAGCAAAAAGAACAAAUCUGGAGGUAUCACAUUACCCAACUUCAAACUACUACAAGGCUGUAGCUACUGAAACAGGAUGGCAAAGGCAUAAAAACAGACAUGUGGACCAAUGGAACAGAAUCCAGAUUCCAGAAAUAAAGCCAAAUACUUAUUGCCAACUGAUCUUUGACAAAGCAAACAAAAACAUAAAGUGGAGAAAGGACACCCUAUUCAACCAGUGGUGCUGGGAUAAUUGACAAGUCACUUGUAGUACAAUGGUACUGAAUCCACAUCUCUCGACUUAUAAAAAAGAAUCUACUUAAGAUGGAUGAAAAAAUUAAACCUAAGACCUGAAACAAUAAAAAUUCUAGGACAGAACAUCAGAAAGUCUCUUCUAGACAUUGGCUUAACAAGGACUUCAUGAGCAAGAACCCAAAAGGAAGUGCAACAAAAACAAAGAUAAAUAGAUGUGACUUAAUUAAACUAAAAAGCUUCUGCACAGCAAAAGAAAUAAUCAGCUGAAUAAACAGACAACUCACAGAAUGGGAGAAAAUAUUCACAAACUAUGUACCUGACAAAGGACUAAUAUUCAGAAUCUACGAAAAUUCAAACAGACGAGAGAAAAACAAAUAAUAUCAUCAAAAAUUAGGCUAAGAUCAUGAAUUGACAAUUCUCAAAAGAAAAUAUACAAAUGGACAACAAACAUAAAAAAAAUGCUCAACAUCACUAAUUAUCAUGGAAAUGCAAAUCAAAACCACAAUGCAAUACUACUGUCCUCCUGUAAGAAUGGACAUCAUUAAAAAAAAACAGAAAAUAAUACAAUAUUGGCAUGGAUGUAGUAAAAAGGAACACUUUUACACUACUGGUGGGAAUGUAAACUAGUACAACCACUAUAGAAAACAGUAUGGACAUUCCUUAAGAACUAAAAGUAGAUCUACAUUUUUACCCAGCUAUCCUACUACUGGAUAUCUACACAGAAAAAAAGAAGUCAUUAUUUGCAAAGACUUAUGCAAAUCUUUACAGCAGUACAAUUCCCAACUGUAAAAAUAUGGAACAAACCUAAAUGCCCAUCAACCAAUGGGUGGAUAAAGAAAAUAUGAUAUGUAUGUAUGUGUGUGUAUAUAUAUAUAUAUACACACACACACAUAUAUAUAAUAUACACCCCCCAUACACACAGACACACACCUUGGAAUACUACUCAGUCAUAAAGAGGAAGAAAAUAAUGCCAUUAACAGCAACCUGGAUGGAAUUGGAGACCAGUAUUCUAAGUGAAGUAAUUCAGGAUUAGGUAACUAAACAUUGGAUGUUCUCACUUAUAAGUGGGAGCUAAGCUAUGAAAAUUCAAAGCCAUAAGAAUAAUAUAAUGGACUCUCAGGACUCAGGGAAGGUUGGAGUGGGAAGAGGGAUAAAAGACUAUACAUUGGGUGCUGUGUACACUGCUCGGAUGAUGGGUGUGCCAAAAUUUCAGAAAUCACAACUAAAUAAAUUAUCCAUCAAAUCAAA